rnacentral:rRNA from 1 species
GUCGAACGCGAAAGUUCCCGCAGGGAUUAGUAGAGUGGCAAACGGGUGAGUAACACGUGGGUGACCUGCCCUCGAGCGGGGGAUAACGUCCCGAAAGGGACGCUAAUACCGCAUGACAUCCUGCCUUUGAACAGGCGGAGAUCAAAGCUGGGGAUCGCAAGACCUAGCACUCGAAGAGGGGCCCGCGCCUGAUUAGCUAGUUGGUGAGGUAACGGCUCACCAAGGCUACGAUCAGUAUCCGGCCUGAGAGGGCGGACGGACACACUGGGACUGAGACACGGCCCAGACUCCUACGGGAGGCAGCAGUGGGGAAUUUUGCGCAAUGGGGGAAACCCUGACGCAGCAACGCCGCGUGGAGGAUGAAAUAUCUUGGUAUGUAAACUCCUUUCGAUGGGGAAGAUUAUGACGGUACCCAUAGAAGAAGCCCCGGCUAACUUCGUGCCAGCAGCCGCGGUAAUACGAGGGGGGCAAGCGUUGUUCGGAUUUAUUGGGCGUAAAGGGUGCGUAGGCGGUUUGGCAAGUCUUGUGUGAAAUCUUCGGGCUCAACCCGAAGCCUGCACAAGAAACUGCCGGGCUUGAGUAUGGGAGAGGUGAGUGGAAUUUCCGGUGUAGCGGUGAAAUGCGUAGAUAUCGGAAAGAACACCUGUGGCGAAAGCGGCUCACUGGACCAUAACUGACGCUGAUGCACGAAAGCUAGGGGAGCAAACAGGAUUAGAUACCCUGGUAGUCCUAGCC